CAAUAGCGUAUAUUUAAGUUGUUGCAGUUAAAAAGCUCGUAGUUGGAUUUCGGAUGGGACUUGCCGGUCCGUCGUUUCGAUGUGCACUGGCCAGUCCUAUCUUGUUGUCGGGGACUAGCUCCUGGGCUUCACUGUCCGGGACUAGGAGCUGGCGAGGUUACUUUGAGUAAAUUAGAGUGUUCAAAGCAAGCCUACGCUCUGAAUACAUUAGCAUGGAAUAACACGAUAGGACUCUGGCUUAUCUUGUUGGUCUGUGAGACCAGAGUAAUGAUUAAGAGGGACAGUCGGGGGCAUUCGUAUUUCAUUGUCAGAGGUGAAAUUCUUGGAUUUAUGAAAGACGAACUUCUGCGAAAGCAUUUGUCAAGGAUGUUUUCAUUAA
rnacentral:rRNA from 1 species